UUUACAUUGAGCUCGCCCCGCGCUGCUAUUUACUUUGAAACCUGAUUAGUAUGGGCCGUCUAUUGUCACCAAAAAGAGGAAGAAACCCUGGAUAGAAUAGCGGAAAAAAAAAGCGGGUUAAAGGCAAGAGAGGGAGAGAUGGAGAACGAGAGAGAGAGAGAGAGAGAGAGAGAGAGAGAGAGAGAGGAGGUGGGGGACAAAGCUUUUAAGCACGACAAAUAAAACCAAAAGCUGUACGCAGCGACCAAAAGGGGGGAUUCUGACUCAGAUUUCCCCCCCUUAAAGUUUCAAAAUGCCUUGUCUCGGACUGUUAUCUUUAUUAUAAAACUAACUGGGGUCUCUGCUGCUUUGGAACGGAUUAAUAUUUUCACACGCUGUUUUUUUUUUUUUUGUCCUUGGCAUGCGCAUUGCGGUACAGCAUCAUCUGUAAUCGCCACCAGUUUUGCUCAUUAAAACUUAUAAUUUAGUUUAAGAGCAGUUUAGGAAAAUAUCACUGUGCAGAACGAUGUGCAAAUACCGCGUUAUACUGGAUACAUUUGCAGAUGCGGGCAAUUUCUUAAAAUUGGAAGCGACGUUUAACCAUCACCAACACCACACAGUCACACAAACACUUAAAUAGGAGUGGCUUUAUGUGCUAAUAAUGACAUUAAUUCAAAAUCGAGUGAAGUUACGGGGAAUUUGCACGGGGAUUCCAGCUUUUAUGCAUCAGUGUUUCUGCAGGCUUUCAGACUCAAAAAUGUCUGGAUCGCGCUGCCAUCUAGCGUACGUUGUGCAAUUACAUCCCCAUAAUGUCGAGGUACAAGCCAUAAAACUUGCAUUUUUAAGCGCUUAAAUGAAGAUUUUUAAAAAUAUAUAUAAAAUUGAUUUAAAUGUGCGUAAAAUUAUUUUGCUUACUUUUCUAGUUCGUAAAAAGUAAAACAUGCUUGGUAAAUAUAUUUGUUGAAAUGAGUAAAUAAUUAGGAAAAGAUAAACAGGUAUUGAUUAAAUUACUAUAAUUCGAGUGCAACGGUGCUUUGUAAUUACAAUGACGCGCCCUUUAUAUAAAACAAAGAAAAAAGUACACAUUCCAUCCAAAAGCAUGGGAAAAUUAUAUCCAAUACUUAAAGGCAAAAAGGUACUUUAAUGCGACAAAGUAUGUAUAAACUUCUCUGGACCCCAACAGAGACAUAAGAAGAUAUAACAUAGCGUUAAUAUAUGCAAGUGCCCCUGUUUGAAAGCGCAUAUAGGAGGGAUGGCUUGUUUUUUAAGUAUUCAACAAGAGAACUCUCUCUCCCCGUCCCUGUCUCGGACACACACCAUGGAAACUCUCCGGCCAUGUCUCCAGUUCUCUGAAAAGGUGAAACCAAUAAGAUUAAAUAGGACAAUGCUUUUUACCCCCUUUUUCCCCCUUUGGUGUAUCAUUAAGAUUUAACUCCGCACAUUUGGUAAAAGAAAGGGGGUCCGCAUGAGGGAAGAAGAGGAGAGAGAAGAGUGAGAGGGGGAAGCGAAUAGGAAGCGGGGUAUUGGAGAGGCUCUGCAAAAAACCUGCAUGUGGAGAAAGUGGACAGACGGAAUGUUGGAAAAAGAACAAGAAGAAGCAUCGGCGCAGGAGCAGCAACUUUGCAGCCACGAAGGCUCACAGCGUUUGGGCCACAGGAGGAGUCCGAACACACGGUGGGACAUGCUGAAGGAGGACUGAGAUACUGGACUUGGAUUUCUCUUAUGCUGUUUGAUUUUAGGAAGUGGAUGUCACUGUUUGUUAGGAAAGAGGGUUAUAUACUAAUGAAAUUUAAGAUGAAAGUUAAGUUCAUCCUUAUUUUUGAUUUCAAGAUGUGCCCUUUUUGAAUACCAUUUCCAAUUUCAUAUCGUGUUCAUUGUGUUAAGAUGUGGAAAAGAAUGUAGUUUGCUAUUCUGGGAACCUAAUCAGCUACUUUCAUUGCAGGAUGUCAAAAUGAAAAUGAAAUUAUAUUGAUGGCUUGUGAAGACAUAGAUGUAUCAUAGAAUCAGUGACUAAAUGAUAGUUUGCCUAAUUAGGGUUAAACUUUUUUACUUUUUUUUCUUUUGGUUGUAAACACAUAAGUAGCAUGAUGUUAAAAUAGCAAUAAUUUCCUUAAUUUAUUCUAUAAAAUGCACCAAACAGCCUAUUUCUGACCAACACUGAAUUUCAAUGUUAUUUGAGGUCUUAUCUGCCAAUUCCAAUUUUUUUCCUAUUCCAAUUGUUCUUGUAAGCACUAUACCAGACAAUAGAGGAAUACAUGUUCCCUGAUAGAAACAGUAGUUUUGAAUUCAAUAGAAAGCAAAGGUUUACAAAAUAAUCACCCUUUAGGCAUUAAAGCCUAUGUAAUCUACCUUUCUGUGUUUCUAUUACACUCAAAAAAGUUUGUCAUGGUGCAGACUGUAGGUUGAUGCUGUGAGUUUCUACUUAUGAUGAAUUUAAUGAGCAGGAAAGAAUGAGAUUUUUUGUUAUUUGAAUGCUUUUUGGUCAUAGAAAGUGUUCAGUAGAAUACUUUUAUAAUAGAUUGGAUAACAUAAAAGUUAAAAUUUAUCCUCA